rnacentral:rRNA from 1 species
AUUCCCUAGUAGCGGCGAGCGAGCGGGAAGAGCUCAAAUUUAUAAUCUGGCACCUUCGGUGUCCGAGUUGUAAUCUCUAGAAGUGUUUUCCGCGUUGGACCGCACACAAGUCUGUUGGAAUACAGCGGCAUAGUGGUGAAACCCCCGUAUAUGGUGCGGACGCCCAGCGCUUUGUGAUACACUUUCAAUGAGUCGAGUUGUUUGGGAAUGCAGCUCAAAUUGGGUGGUAAAUUCCAUCUAAAGCUAAAUAUUGGCGAGAGACCGAUAGCGAACAAGUACCGUGAGGGAAAGAUGAAAAGCACUUUGGAAAGAGAGUUAACAGUACGUGAAAUUGUUGGAAGGGAAACGCUUGAAGUCAGACUUGCUUGCCGGAGCUUGCUUCGGUUUGCAGGCCAGCAUCAGUUUUCCGGGGUGGAUAAUGACGGUUUGAAGGUAGCAGUCUCGGCUGUGUUAUAGCUUUCCGUUGGAUACAUCCUGGGGGACUGAGGAACGCAGCGUGCUUUUUGCGAAAGACUCGUCUUUUUCACGCUUAGGAUGCUGGUGGAAUGGCUUUAAACGACCCGUCUUGAAACCACGGACCAU